AUGGGGCAUCGCAGGUUCUUACAUGAAGACCACCCCUUUAGGUCCAAUACCCAUUCUUUUGAUGGCAUUGCUGAGCAUAGGCCAGCGCCAAUUCCUCUCUCUGGAUCAGAAAUUGUUGCUCAGACGGAAGAUAUGCAUACAGUUUUUGGGAAGGAUCCUUCCGGGAAGAAGAAAACCAAGAGAAAGCGCAAGGAUGAUGAGCCGUUAAUAGUUUGGAAAAGGAAGUCUAUUUUUUUCAGGCUGCCAUAUUGGGAGAGCUUGUUGCUGCGUCACAACUUAGACGUCAUGCACAUAGAAAAAAAUGUAUGUGAGAACAUAAUCAACACAUUGUUGUGCAUUGAUGGGAAAUCUAAGGAUAAUCUGAACUCUCGCUUGGACCUUCAAGCUCUAAACAUUAGAAGUGACCUUCAUCCUAUUGAACUUGAAGUAGAAGAUAAAUUUUACUUACCUCCAGCACCUUAUGAAAUGAAUGUUGCCCAACAGAGGUUAUUUUGUGGAGUAUUUAAAGGAGCUAGGUUCCCUUACGGGUUAUCAGCUGAUAUACGUGGUAAUGUGCAUGUCAAGGAAAGAAAAAUAACCAGGCUAAAGAGCCAUGACAACCACAUCUUGAUGCAACAUUUGCUACCACUUGCUGUGAGAAGGCUAUUGCCCAAAAAAGUUAGUGCAGCACUGAUUCGUGUUAGUAAUUUUUUCAAGCAGAUUUACUCACAUGUUAUUUCUAUUAGUGAUAUGGAAAAACUAGAGGCUGAAAUAGCUGAGACCUUGAGCAUUCUUGAGACUAUAUUCCCCCCAUCCUUUUUUGAUAUCAUGGUACACUUGAUGGUGCAUCUUCCAGCCCAAGCAAAAAUAGCUGGUCCAGUGCAUUUUCGCAACAUGUUUCCUAUAGAAAGGUAUUUGUGCCGGUGUAAGGGCUUUCUUCAUACUAGAAGUCAUCCAGAGGGAUCUAUUGCCGAGAGCUAUUUAUUUGAUGAGACUCUUACGUACUGUUCUCGGUAUAUAAAGGGCGAAACUCAGUUUACUCGACAAAUUAGAAAUGAUCAAGGUUUGUGUAUGGAAACUAGUAGUACCACACCUUUCUUC
rnacentral:rRNA from 1 species